GCUCUGGUGGCGGAAUUGGUAUACGCACAGGACUGAGGCUCCUGGCCAUUUUUUGGCAUGCGGGUUCAACUCCCGCCCAGAGCA
rnacentral:tRNA from 1 species